CCUACGGGGUGCAGCAGUGGGGAAUAUUGGGCAAUGGAGGAAACUCUGACCCAGCAACGCCGCGUGAAUGAUGAAGGUCUUCGGAUUGUACAGUUCUUUUCUAAGGGAAGAAGAAAGUGACGGUACCUUAGGAAUAAGCCUCGGCUAACUACGUGCCAGCAGCCGCGGUAAUACGGCGGAGGCAAUCGUUAUCCGGAAUGACUGGGCGUACAGGGUGCGUAGGUGGUUUGACAAGUUGGUAGCGUAACUCCGGGGUUCAACCUCGGCACUACUACCAAAACUGUCGGACUUGAGUUCAGGAGGGGCAAAUGGAAUUCCUAGGGUAGCGGGGGAAUGCGUAGAUAUUAGGAGGAACACCAGUGGCGAAGGCGAUUUGCUGGACUGUAACUGACACUGAGGCACGAAAGCGUGGGGAGCAAACAGGAUUAGAUACCCCUGGUAGUC
rnacentral:rRNA from 1 species